GACGAACGCUGGCGGCGGGCUUAACACAUGCAAGUCGAACGGAAAGGCCCUGCUUUUUUGGGGUGCUCGAGUGGCGAACGGGUGAGUAACACGUGAGUAACCUGCCCUUGACUUUGGGAUAACUUCAGGAAACUGGGGCUAAUACCGGAUAGGAGCUCAUGCUGGAUUGUGGGGGUUGGAAAGUUUAGGCGGUUGGGGAUGGACUCGCGGCUGAUCAGCUUGUUGGUGGGGUAGUGGCUUACCAAGGCUUUGACGGGUAGCCGGCAUGAGAGCGUGACCGGCCACAUUAGGACUGCGAUACGGACCAGACUCCUACGGGAGGCAGCAGUGGGGAAUAUUGCACAAUGGGCGGAAGCCUGAUGCAGAAACGUCGCGUGCGGGAUGACGGCCUUCGGGUUGUAAACAGCUUCCGCCUGUGACGAAGCGUGAGUGACGGUAAUGAGUAAAGAAGCACCGGCUAACUACGUG
rnacentral:rRNA from 1 species